GCCGUGCUGGUUCCUGUCUUAGGACAGGCGAAGAGGGAAUGCGACAGGCUUUGCGACCGAUCACCGGUGGAAAGCCGCAAGCGCAGCCGCCCCCGCGACCGUGACCGGAGAAUGGCCCCCGUAUCCCACUGGCAUCGACCGGGAAGGGUGAGGGGUCGCCGGGGCAUCGCUCCGAUAUCCGCAAGCCGGGAGACCUGCCAGCACG
rnacentral:ncRNA from 1 species